AUUGAACGCUGGCGUCAGGCCUAACACAUGCAAGUCGAACGAGUGGCGUACGGGUGAGUACUGUCUGGGCAACUGCCCGAUGUAGGGGGAUAACUACUGGAAACGGUAGCUAAUACCGCAUACCCUCGUCUGUGCCCAGAUGGGAUUAGCUAGUAGGUGGGGUAACGGCUCACCUAGGCGACGAUCACUAGCUGGUCUGAUAGGAUGACCAGCCAAACUGGAACUGAGACACGGUCCAGACUCCGACGGGAGGAAGCAGUGGGGAAUAUUGCACAAUGGGCGCAAGCCUGAUGAAGCCAUGCCGCGUGUAUGAAGAAGGCCUUCGGGUUGUAAAGUACUUUCAGCGAGGAGGCGUUACUCGCAGAAGAAGCACCGGCUAACUCCGUGCCAGCAGCCGCGGUAAUAC
rnacentral:rRNA from 1 species